rfam:Triticum aestivum genome assembly, contig: Triticum_aestivum_CS42_TGACv1_scaffold_342990_4DL
AAAAUACUCCCUUCAUUCGGAAUUACUUGUCGCAGAAAUGGAUGUAUCUAGACGUAUCUUAGUUCUAUAUACAUCCAUUUUUAUCCAUCUAUGCGAUAAGUAAUUCCGGACGGAGGGAGUAUAUG